UCUUCCCGGAACAGAUACAUUAUUUGCGUUUGGUAAGUGUAGACAAAGGCCAACCAGGUAAUCAACCCGGAAAUGGAAUUGGAAUACCUUCUAGGCCGGGGGACGGAAGAGACCAAAACCCGCAUCACUUUCCAUACGACUGCUUUCACCCUCGAGUUUGCGUGGCCAGUCGACUAAAACCUUGGGAUGUAUGAUGUCCCAUCUCUUGCUACACAGGGGCAGCAACAUUUAGUGGAAAUAUGAGAUCAGGGAGUCAAGCUCAUAUGGUGGGGAGGACAACGAAUUUGCAUCCCGAAGUAUUUAGCUGUAGCCCUUUCAAGCCCAUGAAUAUCGGGUAGAGGCGCUUAUUGAUCGGGAAAGCUACAGAUAAUUGUGUCUCCCCCCAGAAGACUAGUUUACUGCAUAAAAUCCAU
rnacentral:sRNA from 1 species